UAUUUCUGCAUCACGGAACGUGCGCGCGCACAACGUUUGCCAGCGAAGGCUACGAAUUGAUUGGCAGUCAGCGUGCUGGAAAACAAUAGCAGGUCCGUGAAAAAAGGAGGGUUGAUUUAAUCCUAUUAAUCCCGACCAAGUUCUCCGGUGACGCGUCAGGUUGUUAUUUUUAAUACACGCGCCUCGCUCCGGGGCCUGAAAUCAGAUCGUCGACGCGGCCGCGUCGUCACUGGUUGUAUUCCAUGCAGCGACGGUAUUAUUUCGCGUGUGAUAAACAACUUUCGCGUGUGGAAAAGGACGCGCGAAUGCACGCUACGGAGACAAAGUUCUUCCGGGCAAACAACAGUUUCGAGAAACUUUGGGUGGAAAGGGAAUGAAAAUCUGUGUCGAAGAUCCGACGAAACCUAGUCUCGGCUGUAUCUUGCGAGUGUUUCAAAGAAAGACAACCGGUGCCAACUGAUAUGAGAAUCGAGGUGGUCCGGUGAAUAGAGAUUCGACGUUCUAUUGGCCCGAUAAUUUGAUCGGCGAUAGAUUGACAAAACAGCUACGUUGCUAGCCAGACGAAAAGACGAUGCCACGCGACGAUACCAACCACAAGAUAAAACGAAGUUUCUCUUUGGUUCUACUCGGUCUCGAUUAACCGCGAUUCUUUCCCACUCUUCUCUCUUUUCGUCGAUUUUCGUAUGCUCGAUCUGAAACUUGUACCGCGGCAUUCCAGUUAGAGUAUUUUGAAUGCGAGCCGCAAUGCAUUUCGUGUGUACGAGGAAACGUAACCAAUGGAACACGGACAUCCUAUAUUAUUACGAUCCGACGAGUUUGCACCCUAUACGGUCGUGGCAACCAAUUCCAAUUCCCUGCUCAGGCCAACGUGACGGCCGGCAAAUAAUUUACGAAUAAUGAGGACGCUACGUGGAACCCGGCCAGAUCUCUCUGCACCUACGUGUAGGUGGACGCGCGAUACGUAGUUAACUGACAGAUUGUGAACGUACCAGGCCCGAACGUGAUCAACCAUGAAAUGCGCUUAUAAAUUAUUCCGUGCCUAGCUUCCAGCUGAUAUAGAAUACAUCGAUACGUCCGGUGUUGCGUUUUACAAAUAAUCUACGAUACGAGAGCACCGGGAUUUCUUGCAUAGAGGAUCGGUAGCGUGUGAACCACGGAUCUAUCGUAGGAUAACAUCGUAUAUGAUAUCGCGUCGACGAACCACGAGUAUGGAAUUAUUGCAAACUGUCGAAGGGCAUCGCUACAGCUACCGUUUCCGCAUUGCAUUUUCAGAAACUUCACGCGACGUCUGUCAAUUUCCAAACGUGUUCUCGCGCCCGACAAGAUAUCCUUUUCUUUCGCCUCGGAGUUUUUAAAAUGUCCAUCACCGUCCUUCUGACUGAUUUACUUUGAAAAACCGAAAUUCUGCUUGACACCGGUGCGCGCGGUGUAACGGCUGGAUGGAAAAACGCAACGGCGAAGAGAAAGCUGCCACCGUUUGCAUACGCGAGUUUUAUAGCUUCCUUCCUUUUCCUCUACGCUGACAAUAAAAUCUAACGUCACGGAAGAAUAAAAGCUUAUUAUCCGGAAAAGUGUGUUCUCUCAUUGUUUUUACGGGCUGCCCCAAGGGCUAAACGGGUCGCAGAGUGUUGAGCGUAGAUAACGUCGUCUACAGAGUAACAGCAGUCUACCGAGUGCUUUCACGUAUAAACGUGCAUGUUCGCGAGCUAGUGCCUCGCAACGCGUGCAUUUCUAGCUUGCUACGAAAUACCGGCGACAUUCGUCAGACGGAGAAACAACGUCCUUCUCUUCUUGCACCUGAGCAAAGGAGUUGCCACGCAAUACCGCAUCGUAGCAAGCGAGAGAAUCUUAUUAGAAACUCCUACCAGCUUAGUAUCGAUUCCGCAUCAAUUUGCAUUGUUCAAGACGAUCCGAGGGAAACUAUUCGCCGCUUGGUCGCUGUUACCUGCUUUCUGGCUAGCGGUCUGGAUAGAGAGCAAACGAGUCAAGAGAGGGGAAACAAGCAAACUGGAGAACAGGAGAGAGACGAAGAUUCCGUGAGUUGGAACUCCUCCUUUGGAGGAGAAGGAGAUGGAGAAAGGGGUAAGCGGAGGGGUUGUCAAUACCAUCCAUUACUGUCAUGACGCCUUUAUUACUAUCGUCGUUCCGUUGCUUUCCAUACGGUCGAAGGGUUUCCCAAGCACCGUCCCGACGCAGCUUACUCUUGGCAAGACAACUAGCGCUUCGAGAGAGCAAGAGAGAGCACCCGACCACUUUGUCUCGACGGAUACGCAAUUUCUGGCGGUUUCUCGACGGUGUGUGGGAGAGCCAGCAAUGAGCGAAGAUAUCGUCGACGAGCGGCAAUCUCGGAAAUCUAGGUCAAGUUGCGAAACGAACCAACUUCUCCAGUUUUGCCGACAACGAAAGAUCGGACGAAUCGAGCGAAAAUUUUUCGCGAUCCCGUGUAGUAUCGACGAUGCGUUUAUCCAGAGAUCGUGUCGUCGCGUGAUGCUACAUGUUUGGAAACGUGGUCAACGGCUUUUAUUGUUAGUCAAACACAGAAAAAUAUAAUAAAAACACGAACGAAUUCGGGUAUAACACGUCGAGUACCAAGUUGCGAACAAAUUUCAACGACGAUCCAACGUCGAGUGGACAAAAUGGUCGCGACACUUGGCUGGCUGAAAAAUAACCAUCGUAUCCGGACAAAAGUAAAAGAGAACAGCUCUUUAAAUAUUAUGGUACGUUCGCGGCAGCACGAGUGUGGACAUUAGCGCGUGGUUAUAACGCGGAAGACACAUCCGGAUCAUUCGAUUUCACACUCGUUGUGCGUGGAAAAAUAGAACCACGGUAUAGAGGGUAGAGAGAGAGAGAGAGAGAGAGAGGCGGUAGGGCGCAUGGCUGGAAGGGAAGCAUCGUUGCAUACAGAUUUCCUGGAUGAUCCCUAGCAGACAGAGGCCAAAGUGGCCGAGUCACUUUUGGUCGGCAGGCAAUAACCAGGCGAGAGCAAUAUAAGAGCACGUGAGCGACUUGUACAAAGUGAAGAGCAUAUUUAUUGCAGGUCAUAGUGGGCCGGAUUGUGACGGUACCCUCAGAGACGACAGGUCUCACGGGGGCAUGAUAUAUAUUUUCGGCGGCGCACACGACCACGGCCUAUCUCGCGGAAAUGCCAUUUUCGGGACUCGACGUUCCCGGAAAGCAAUAAUACCGAAAGCAGUUUUAAUAAAGGCUCAGCCACGAUAUAUCGUGGCUAUACCCCACACCCUACCUGUCCGACCCCUCUGUACAUUGCCAUCGCGUCCUAUCGUCCAUUCUUCCACCCUCACGUCCCUUCCACGUGUCUCGCUCUUUCAUGGCGAACGACCGUACCCGUACACAAGCACACCGUUCACCAUCCUAUUCGUCGAUGCCCGAAUUUUUUUCCGUGAUUCCUCUCGUGCCUGGGCUCCAGAUUGCUCGACGUUACGCUCUCUCCCCUACGUCCACAGCGAUAUUUUAUCCGCGCCUCGUUUCAUUAUUUUUAACGAUGGUCAUUUUAUUACGUAAUUCAUUUCAAUUUAUACGUACCACUUGAACGUCUCCGUAAUAACGGAAAAAUCAGCAAGAGAAAAACGAGGAUGAAGGAUCAGCGUUUCCGUCCUGUCAGUCUGUCGGGUCUUGUCUCGUGGUUCUCGUCGCACUCUCGGGCGUCAGCAUCGUCUGCAUGAAGCGACCCGACAAAAAAACGAAAAAUUAAUCCUGGGAAAGUCAGGUCGGCAGGAAGGAUACGCAAGAAAGCCGGGAGAUUAAACCGGAAGAUAUAUUGCGUAUCCCACGCCAUAAACAGACUGAUGAGACGUACGCGCGAUAGGAUUGGCCGAGUGAAAUGCUUUCUCUCAAAUUACCUCCGGCCUCUGACUUGCUCGAUAAUAAUUCUGCGCGCAUUUUUCCGCGAGGCAACGAAUACGUUCCACGGUGUAACGUGUUUCUCGAAAUUUUUCAUCUCCCCUGAUGGAAUAAUCUAGCGACAAACGUGACAAAAACACGACGUUGAGAUCCAAAGAGGUUGCACGAAGUAAAGAAAAAUGUCUCAGGAUCUAGUUUAUCUAACAUCGGGACGAUCGUGUUUCUACGCUGUACCGUCCCUUAUGCGAUCCUUAAUUUCCGGCACGCCAGCUUAUUUGUAUACACGAUCGACUUGGUCGCACUCCAUUCGAAGGAAAGGCAGUCGCUAUUCCAGCAAAAUGCCGAUGACACUUGGUCAUGCCUGGGCGCCAUCGUGCCACAUCUUAGCCGACACCGGCAACGGCGAAUCUAAAUUGGAAUCUGUCCGAGGUUGUGCUUCAAGGGGAAAGUGGAUGGAAAACGUGGACAGCCGACCAACGCCUACGCAGCGUCGGUCAACGUUUAAAGUCACGAUGACACAGGAAGAUAGCGAAAUCGUCGACGAAUCGUCCCAUUGACAAGUUCGAUCGGCCGCUUGACACGCCACGAAAUUCAAUCGAAUCGACGUGACGAAUGUUUUACGAGAAGCAAGACGAAGACGAGUAGAGGUUAGAUAUUUUAGCGAGCACGUUAUUCGUGCGUGCGUUGACCGCGUGAUUUAUAGAGGCGAAAACGCACCGAUACGAUAGCCCGGCAAAUAUCGAUUUUUCGAUAUUCUCGAUGCUCAUCCAGCACGAAAUAUCGGAUGGGUGCGUGCCGCUCGGCCAAGCCGAGCCCGUUCAAAUUAUCAUACGUCGAACAAUUUCUAAUUUAAUUCUGUUUCGCUGCGAACGGUCAUCGACGUACGAAUCGUCGUGGAAUUCGCACGGUCCAGCUUUCGGUGAAUUUCGAAUCCUCGCGACGGCCUCAAUUUUUCGAAAACCAAUCGGGAUUGAAACAAUAAAGAACGCUGGAACGAUAAGACCGUUCUCCCGUUUCGGCAAACCACGGAAUAGAAAACUUUUGCGUUAAUACAAUGCGAGAAAAAUAUCGAGCACAACCAGCUCAGCGUACGAAGUAACGUUUCCCACAGUUCCGUAAUGAAAGCGGUUGUCUCCUCUGGUUUCGUGCAACGAUUCUUAUUUCAAGAACUACGGAAGAUGCGCGCUACGCGCUCUAACGCUACACUGUAUUUACGUUUCAGACGCAGCUGCAGUAACCGCGGGGUACGACCAACAAGUGUUUUAUGAUGCAGAUUAGCCAGGUUACCUUGUAGCAACGUCUUCGUUCCUAUCGUAAUAAGCCUUUGAGCGACUAUUUUUUACCCUCUGAAGAUGCCAUCUGACGUUGAAAUUAACCGUCCGUAGUCUUAAUUUUUAAAGUUAUUUUAUCGACAAAGUAAAAUGCCCGGCCUCUGCGAACCCCACAACUCUUAGACCGCCUUCUUCGUUACUUUCUUUCAACCCUCCUCCCGUUACCUACUGCUCCCGUACUCCUGUACUUUCUUAGCGGCAGGACGAGCAAAUCUUUUUCAAUCUCUUUUGAAUCCUUUACGAGCACAGUGAGAUUGGAGAAUAAGAGAUCAGGGCGAGUGAGAGGGGGGAGAAGGUCGAAGAGAAAGAUGAGAAUAAGGUAAAUCUCGCAAAGAGGAGGCAAAGGGCCACGCUAUGGAGUGUAAGAAGGGAGAGAAGGAGGGGCGGAGAGAGAGAGAGAGAGAUAUAGAAAAAAGAGGAAACGGCAGGAAGCGAUGGUAGUAUGGGAUUCGAAACGUUCGUCCUUUUUUCCAGAGCAUCGAUAAUCCCUCCGCGUAAAUCCUUAAACGCGUCAUAAUGGACUUUGCUCGGUUAUUAUCGACUCCGCGUCUAUUCUCGCCGGAGUUCACCUCAUUUCCCUAACGAUACCACGGUCCGUUAUAUGGUCCUCGGGCAGCGAAGCUAGAGGAAUGGAAAAUCGUCAAAGCAGGUGUCGAGUCAGGGAAAAGGGCGAAACACUGGCAGAAAGCAAAUAGGAGCGAAAGAGACUAAAGACAGAAAGGUCACAUCUAAAAAUUGAACUUGAGCAAGACAAUUUAGUUGUGACUGGAGGAGAAUGCUGGAGGACGAUAAGUGCUGUUCAGUGUUAAAUCCACAGGGAAAAACUGCUAUAUAUGAGACAGAGGGUGAUGCGGGGAUGAAAUCCGCUCGCAGGUGUUAAAAUAUUCGUUGUACCGGGAAGCACGGUCUCGCUUGCCAUUGGAUGCUGGAGCAACACACUCGAAAAUACUUUUACGCUUGAUCGCUUUUCCUGGCGCUCUGGCAGCAUGGUUACGCCACCAACUAUGGCAACCAGCUCGCGCCAUGGAUCAAAAGAGAUGAAAGAAUAUUUCGAAAUAAAUCCGGCAAAUUUAUGAAAUCAACUCGUAGAUUCUCUCUUUUUUGCCAGUAAUACAAUUUUAUCCGGCGAAUUCUCGGUCUAUCCGAUUAUAAUUUAGCGGAAGCACUACUGCUACGUGAAAACAACAAUAAGCGAAACAAUUUGACGAUAUAAUAUGAUUUAGCAAGUUAAACGGAAAAAUUCUGUUUGGAUAAAAUCAACGAUUAAACUGAAAUAUCCAUUUUCGCAAGAUUAAAAAAGGGAAAAUUGUUAUGUCGUACGACGUUGUUGUAAAACGAAAAAGCGCCCUGGGAUACGCCAGGCUAUUCCGGAAUAGCUUACGAUAUUGCGGUAACGAACGGAAAUGCUUUCAAACGAUUUGCAACAUCGUAAAACUUUGUUACAAAAAAUCCUACUGCUACCGAGGGAGGUUCAGGAAUACUAGGAAGUUCUCCACAUUGUUCCAAGACUCACGUUGUUGCUAAACGGAAAGAUAUUAUUUAUGCUUUAAAGCAUUGGCUCAUUCUCAUCUGCUUUGUUUUCACAUUCGUAAGUGUUCUCUCUUGGUCUCGUAACGUUGUUGCAACAACAAGAUUUCUUUAACUCAACGGAGAUCGCGUUUCUAAAAAUUCCAAUCGUACCCUUUGCAUAUUUCCAGCAGUUGACAGUAAAAUAUAUGUUUCUCCCUUCCUAGACGUUGAAAAACAAAUUCACGCGUAUGUCUGCCACGGAUCAGCCUCCACCUCGCCAAGGUUAAACAUUCUGAUCUCUCGUUUAGAAAAGUAGAUUGUUAUCGCGCUUGUUGGCAACAAUUUCGCAAACGAGACACCGUUGUCUGUUAAAAAUAUACAAGCGUCGCAGGGUAAAGUAGUGAAAGUACAACAGCGAUUCCCCUGCCUCGUUUCCCCAAUAUUGUCGCAACUCCCUGUACCGCAGAAACUCCUGGAAGAGAAAGCACGCUUUCGGUCGCAAACGACACGGUCGCAUUGCUUAUGUAGUAUGCAUGCAGAAUGCAGGCGCAUCACGACACAUACGGGACUGUCGCGGGAAAACACUUUAAUGGUACAUCGUCUGACGGCUAAGACCGGAAACGAGUGGAAGCUGAAAUCGGAAGGAAAAAAAAAUCCCGGAUACUUUUCCAUCGCAUCGACAAUGCGCCGAGCAGUCAGGUUGACUAGAAUCUCGACGUGAACCGCGCAUGUUCGCGAGUGUACGUGUACGUACACACGGCGAAGAGACGCUGAACCGUGAGAAAGAGAGAGAGAGAGAGAGAGAGAGAGAGGAAGAAGAGAGGAGUGCAAAGGCAUACGCGUACAUACGUGCAUGUACGUACAUAGUCGUGUACAAGAGGGAAGAGCCAGCCUAGGUACGAGUUACCCAAACUCCCAUUCGAUUCGAGCGACAAACUUUGCAAGCAGUUUGAUCGUCGGAGUUACAGAUUCACCGUAGAACUCUGAACUCCAAAUGGGGAAUCUAUUAUCGAAGCAGCGUUUACACGUACAUGUUCGUUUACGCGGCUUGCCGAUCUAGCUGCUGUCAUAGCUGUAGCGAUCAACGUUUUGAUCGUGGUGUCAAUUUGUGCCCGACAAGUUGUAAAUGCGAGAUCGAGUUGUCAAAGCAUCUGAUCGAUCUUUUUAAAGCUUCGUUGAGCAACUUAAUAAUUGAGUAACGUCUAUUUCCCAAGUUCGUGUUGCAGACCGAAGAAGACGACCAAAAAUUAGCUACAGCUAAUGCCAUACACGGUGCAAUCUAUUCCUACCUUUCUCUCUUGUUCGUCUUUUCUUUCUUUUCUUUUUUUCACGGUCGAAAUACCAGUCACAAAAGCUUCCCGUAAUUUUGAGAGAAUCCCUGGAUAAACGGGGUAAGCUUGAAAGGUGGAUGCGGGUUUCCUGGCAGAUUCACGACGUAAAUACAUUUGUCUCUCCUUCUAAGUGGGCUGCUGUCUCUUCGUUGCCGAAUAAAUGCCAGCCGAAUAAAACUUCCUGGCUACACACAAACGCAAUUACCGGACGUAUCCCGGGCGAAGAGAAGAGGCAGCGAGGCCCGACCGGACGAAAGACGCAUUGCCUCUCCACGGCCCGUCCCGUUUGCACCAUUUCCCGAACCUACGAUUCAACACUGCACGAAAUUAACUACCCUCUUUUCUUUCCAUCGAAUCACCGGCAACCAACCGGCUCGAUUCUCAACAGCGGCUCUUCCGACGAACAACCAACCCUCCAACAAUGAAAUUAAAUCUCGCGGAGUUGGUUUCCCUGUGUUACACAGUGUAGGUAAGUUUACGUAUAUUGUGGCACAUUUUUACAUCAGCGAGUAAUCUUAAAUGUCGCAGAUAUCGUAUGAUAUCCAGGAAUGUGUAUUUUAGUUUUGGAAUAUCUUGAACGUUUCUCGUAUUUUCUCUGGUGUUCACCUCUGCUUGGUUUCUAUGUAGCUGAUAUUCUUUAUUCCUUACUCCUCCCUGUAAUAUUCUUGCGGCGUUAUACAUAUCUUUUUUAUUGUUGACACUUCUUUCUUUUAUGAAUAUUGCGCUGGUUUUUAUCGCUGGAAUUCUGUAAUUCUCGAGAGAAGGUUUGCGCAGGGUGAAAAUUUUACAAAGUCUCUAUUUCGUCACGUUAGAAAAUGUAGAUAUCUCCAGCAACAUGCUGAUGGAUUAUUUCCCACCCCUGAGCCGGAUGGGUCACUGCCCAAGGAAGUAGUUGAAACAAGAAGGAAUUCCCUAGAAAUGUUCACAACAGUCUCGACAGUCACCAAGACAGAUUUUGGAGAAAAUGACCAUAGUCGCCACAGUGGUUGGCCACUGGAUGAACGCCAAAUAGCCAGCGAGUUGAUAUCGUUCAUGGACUAGUCAGCCAAGAUGUAGUUGUUAGCAUAGAAUACUUUGACAUUCGUAGAAAUCGAAGGCACAGAAAAUGGAUCAGGACAAUUGGUGAAAAAUGUGACAAGUAUAUUUCCGUGAUACUUUCGCAUUCUAUAGUCGUAAACGUAAUUUCACUCUAAGAAGUAAUUAACGAGUAACACGUAACAAUAUAUAAAUCGAUCAAAAGUACGAUAUUUAUUUGUUCGAACAUCUCGCUAAAAAAACUGAAAGCAUCUAUGAAGGUUCGAAACUUCAGUUACAAUCGUACAAAGUUUGUGUUGCUUCCUAUUGCAAAAGGUAACACGUAUGAUAACAAAACCUUAUGGUCUGAAUACAUCUUUAAUUUAAGAUCUCGCUAAACCAUGAAAACUACUGUAUCGAUGUAGACGUUUUCGUGUACGAAAAAUGUGGCUCGUUCGAACGGAAGAUCGCCGAAGGGCAUAUACGAUAGAAAUUUUCAUUUGACUAGAGAUACAGGCAAACUUUAUGAAUCGAGUUCGCCUUUACACAUUUUUGCGAUACGCAUUGACCGUGCAUAAAAAGUCGCGGCGGGCGGGCAUACCUCCGUGUUCGAUCGCCGUAAAAUUCCUCGCAGGCACGUCAGUUUCCGUACAGUUGGAAAACGGAGAACCAGGCGAAACAGAAAUACUGCAAACUUGCCGGAGGCCAGGUAUGUCUAGAUCAGCCACCGAUAACGCAAGGAAUUGCAUGGCCGGUAAUUGAAAAGCAGACAAGCAAGGAUGCCUGCGCGAAAACCAAGUAAAAUGUACGUGCGAACGUACUUUUCCAUAAACGUUGCACUAUUACUGCUAAAUUACUACGUCAGAAAAAUUCAACCGUUCUUCGGUAGCGAGCUUUAGCUUUUUUCUCCGUGGCAGCUCGAAUCUUUCUCGCUCUUCAAACUAACUUUAAUUACGUUCAAAUAAAUGUCAGAUGUAUUAGGAAUUCAAAGGGGUCGAUGUCGUUAGAAUAUUAAGAAGCGAUUAUGAUAGAAACAUGCUCGAGCUGCAUCACGGCAAACGGGGAAGAAGGAAAAACAAAACCAGAGGUGGUGAACGGUUGGCAUGUUUGAUAAUGCGAGCUAGUAUUUCCAGAUUACGUGGACAGGAUGACGCAGUAAAAGCCUAACAGAGGCAAUGGCCAAUAUCGUACACUGCAACGUGUCUACUGGCGGAUACAUAGGAUAUAUGUAGUCAAUAUCACUGAUAUUCCCGAUGGCGCGAUACACCGGGCAAACGCGUAAUUAAAACUGACGCUUUCGUUUGGAUGUGCGCCCUGUACAGAACCGUUGUAGCUCGCGCGUUCCGUUAUGCGGCUAUCUCGGCCUUCACUUCCGCCGCGAUUGCCAUCGAACGGGAGAGGGGAAAAAAAAAGUUUUCAAAAUCACCGGUUGUCCGUCAAAUAUGGGUUGCAUGAAAAACGGGAAAUUAUUUGGCAGCAUUUCCGCGCGCGCGAGCCCGUCGCACUAUCGUGUACCCAGAAUUUACAUUCGACGCGCGCCUGCUCUCCACGCGCGGUGACGCGAAUUAAAUUUCACGGCUAUCGGGUUGGAGCCGUGUCGCGGCAAAUAUUUAUUUGAUUCCGACCGAUACCAUUAUGAUGUAACGUCGAUUUAUUUAAUGCUUUCCACUGUUACUCCUCCCCUUUCACCAGUACGAAAUAACAUAACUGUCUCGUUUGAACGAUGAAUGGAUCGGAACGACAAAAGCACCUAUAUGAAACCCGUUCUCGUCGAUCGUCCUCGCCGAAAUUCUCGAUGCGUUCAGUAAUUGUAAUUAAUGUGUACGCAAGUUCGAUAAUCCAGUCGAACCGAGACGUUGCACGAAAUCACUCGUUACCUGGGGUAGAAAGGGGUUGCGUGAAGGGGUCGAAAACAGUGGCUGUUAACGCAAUAUGUAGGUAAUGGCGGCACGUAGGCGAGAGUCGGUAUGAUAACCGCGAUGCGAUAACGAUUUUCAACUGGGCCCCUGUACCGUGUCGAAUCGACGAUAAAUCGAGUUACCUCUCGUCAGAAAGCGAUAAACAUUGCCGUUGCCCGAUGGUGGUGCGGUUCGAUAUAGGGUGUGCGUGUUUCCCAUUUUUUCCCCCCGUUUUAACUCCACCAGCCCGAUUAAAUCAUCGCGAUGCGCAACGAUUCUAGUGACAAGUUGAAAAAUCCUUCCCACCGAAAGCAGCACGCGAUUUCUUUCAUAAUCUUGAAUUUUACGAGACUAUCUGUAACGUCGUUUCAUAACCGUACUAAUUAUAAUCUGGCGAUUAAAAUGCUUUAUUCCCGGAGGGCUAAAACCGGCUAAAAGGGAAGAAGGAUCGCGCGCCAGUAGGGCCGGAAAUAUCUAUAAAAGAGCUUUGUCGCGACAUUAUGAAGAAGCUUUGGAAACGUUUCAAGCGAAAAAUGCACAGGAAAUCGAGUUACGCGCAAUUUUAGGGAAGAACAGGCCGUAAAGAAGAAACAGAAUCAUAGAAGCUAUAUGCCAGUGGAAAGUAAAUUAAUUUGGUCCCUUUGGUUUUCGUAGAUUUCCGUAGCGAACGAACAGCGUAUCCCUCGUCGCGUAAAGCGGAGCUGCGUGCCACGGAUUAUGGCACGGUAAAUGUAGGUGUAAUGCGUGCAUGUAAAACCCAUGGAUGCGUGACUCCGGUUCGUAUCGAACACAAUAGCACUGUCGAGGCUGUAUUUUUCGUGUACACGUAAAAUCCAUUUGGUCGUUCGACAUACUGGGUUGUCACUCGGUACAAUCGCAUCCUCCUCUUGUCGCGCGCGCGACUACGGGUCAGCUUUAUUGUCAGCGCCGCCAGAAUUCCGGCUUUCGCAUCGAAACGAAGAGCAAUUAUUCUCACCCACCGCUGCGAGCUUUUAAUUGUCCGCGUGCACCACCCUUCCGUCGUGUUCAAAAUAUUGUAUUACUUUUCUAUUACGAAGCAACUGGCGCGGCCACCGUUAAAAGCGCAUUCUGACCUUUUAAAUUUUUCCAUUAACCGACAUCUAUCGAGGCACACUCAAACUUGCGUCAUCCUUGUUGCCCUACAUGUCCUCCUUCUGUUCCAUUCUUCCUACGUAGCACAUGCAUCUUCUCUCUGUUUCUCCUGCUUUCUAUCGGUACUCGGUGCUGCCGAAAACUUUAUCCAACACCGUUAACCCUACACACUACACACCACGUUUACGCUGAGAAGAUAUACGUUAAAUGUUGCUGUGAAAACACUGUUCACACAUUCAGAAAAUAAAACGAAUCGACGGUAAAAGCGUUGAAUCCGAGAGUAAGUUAAUAAUUUAUAGGAAGGUUAAAGAGUCGUGUUUUAAAAUAUGCAAGUACAUUACUUGAUUGAAAUCAUUAAAAAGGAGCUCGGUGAAUAAAACGUGUUAGCCUAUUGUACUAGAGAUCGAUAGAAAGAGAUGAAACACGAACGAUGUGCAAAGAUAAAUGGUGAAAAUGCAUGUGUUCUAAAUCAAUUAUCAACAAGGUUGACGAAAGAUUCAAAGAAAAAUUCUAUCGCGCAGGUGAUGAAAUAUAAAAAAAAAAGUUGGCGUUUUACGGACCCUUUAAACUAAAAGAGAAAGCCAAUUAAGGAUAAAAUUAAGUAUUGCCAUUAAGGAAGAACAGCAUGCAUCGCGAUAACGCUAGUCCACACGCAGCAAUAAUGGGUGGUAAAAAUUACAUGACAAAACGGGUGUAAUUAAUCAUUCCUCGUAUCCUCUUCGCUUGACACCAUUGGGUUAUCAUCGUUGCUAAUCAUCGCAGUAUUUUCUCCGUAAAAAAAAACAUCAUCAGUUAAUAAUGAUUCAUGCAGACGGAACAAACAAACUGACAAACAGACAGCAAAAAAAUAUAACAAAGUACGCUGGAGAAUGCCUAUCGCCUCUAGAUCUCGAUCUACGUCGACCAACAAGAAACGCGACAAAACUUCGCGGUGAACUUACAAUCUAACAGGUCGUGACUGUAUUCCACUGGUGUCGAAGUCUCGGCAGCAAUACUUUCGGCAUUAAAGUCAACGCGUCAUUUUCCACAGCUCACAUCCACGUGGUUCAUUAGCGAGAAAAGCCUCCCCUUGCGCGAUACCGGCAGGGCCGCGACCUGUACACCACCGUUCCUCCUUUUAUCAGGAUUCCUCUCUCGUUUGUUUUCACGACGUGCGAACCUGGUCCGGCUUAUUUCGCCGUUCGCCUGUGCUAAACUCGGUAUUCACGGCGUAUCGCGUAAUGCCGUAGCAUUACUGCGAAUGUCUAAGCUCGCUAACCGGUAAAUAUGAGUUUUCACUUGCCGCCCUGGCUACAAACCCAUUUCUACUCUCGGCCUCUAUUUUUACCUCGUUAAUUACGAUUACCCGGCGUCCCAAGGCACGCCAGGUAACACGCUCGGACUUCCGACGAGUUUCUUUCUCUAACGUGAACCGGCGAGACUCUACCAGGUGGCCACGACUACACACUCAAGUCCGAUAUACAGGAAAGAUACCCGCGAGCCGGAGAAUAUAUCGGAGACUCGUUACUAAACAGGAAGAUAUAUAUAUAUAUAUUACAGCUUUGUAUGCUCGUUAUCGAAGUACUAAUAUUCUAUCGAUGCAGUUGCGAUCGCGCAUAGAAAAUGGUUUCCUUUCUGGCAUCGGUAUAACGUUUCGUCGAUCUCGCCUACGGGGGUCCGUUAAUAUCUAAUUAAACAACUGAAUUCAAUACAUCAGCAUGAUGGUUCCAGGCCACUGGAACUAGAGCAUAGACUAGAAGUCCUGCGGCAGCGUGCAAGACGAAACCGGUAGAACGAAGAGAAACAGCGUAGCGGCGAGUGGAAAAGGGAGAGAAUGGUGGAAACUCGAGGAGGAUCUACGACCUCAAUUCUCUGCCCUGAAAUAGGCCCGAGUCUUCCUGAGGUCGGUCUUCGGUACUUCGACCUGCGGAAGCAAUAUUUCCACGGGACUUCCGAGAAACGGCGAACCCGCCGGCAAUUAGUCAGGAAGUGGCUGACAAGCCUCCUCCACGUCUUUCGCUCGUGCUUUCCACGAAUUGACCGCCUUUGUGCGCUCGAUCGCCGAUUCGAUAUUGCCGAUUCGCGAACGCCCGUAUACCGGGAUUAAAGAUCCUCCCUUUCUUCUUAAUUAAUCGUCUAACGAGAGGAAAAAAAGAAAGAGAGGAAGAAAACGAGCGAAUCUUCCAUGGGGAAUCGAUCAACCAUCGGACAGAAACAAAGAAGAUUCAAAUCGUUUCCUGGCCCUCGAGUUAUGGCGUCUUUAUAAGAGCCACUAUCCUACGACUAAAUCAUCGUAAGUUCGCGCUAUUUCGGACGACAAGACAAUUCGCGCCAUUUUCCUCUGAUAUAAUUCUUCUUUAAUGGCUCGUAAACAAACUCCCAUAAAUCGUGACUUUCGUCGUUACGCCGAGCCUGCCAAGCCCUGCACAGCGUAACCCGCUUGAAUUUAUAAUGCCGACGAUCAAACACGUAGCAAUACCGUGAAUCGUAAUAGCGAUAUCCGCGAGUUAACGCUUCUAUCGCGAUCGACGCUCCACUUCAUUCCUUCCAGCCUCAUGAUCGGGAGAGAGUCGGAUUUUCAGUUUCGUCAUUGGCCAACUGCGAUCCAGGGACUACGUAUCGUAGGUAACUACUCCUACGGGACCUGUAAAACAAUACUGCUUUUCUCCGGUGAGCUCCCCGAGUCAUCGUUCCUUAUGGACCACGGUAGAACGAAAUCAGACGCGAGUCCGUGCGGUACGACUUACCUGGUGACGAAUAACGGAUGCCGCAAUAUCUACGGACACGCUGUGCGAUUCAUAUAAAUUAUCUGGUCUGACGUGAUUUCAGUCGGGUGGUUGCACGUUUCGUUACACGUCCAUUUAACGCGAAGAUUUGUCUCUCACGAUGAAACCGAGCCUGCAAGUCGCGCCACUUUUUUCUCUUCUCAACUGAAAAUAAACCCGAAACGUGCACGUUCUCUCCCAGGCUGCUUCUUUAUGCAUACGUUUCCAGGCUCUCGUAAUAGGAUCAGUCGCGAAAACAACAAGAGGAAAAAGCUGACGAACGAUAAUUACAGUUCGACGUUAUUGCCUGAUCGAGUAUACAAUUAUCGGGCGGAUAAUCGGCAGUUGGCCGAAUGAAAAAGUUCAAAAUUCUACGCUCUUAAGGAGCCUAGGAAUUGUCCCUUAUUAUGCAGUUCUUGUUAUUACCGUCGCAUCGUUUUAGCAAUUGAGCUCGGAUAAAAGACCACUUUAUAUCGUGUGCUGUCGUAUAACGAGCACCAUUACGGAAUCAUCUCCAGUUGGAUCGUAGGCUCCCGACUUCCUCUCUCUUUCUCUCUCUCUCUCUCUCUCUCUCGUUUGCUCUUUCUCUUCGUUCCAUUCCAGAAAAGUGCAUUGUCUCUGUCAUUAAAUUACGCUACGCUAAUGACCGUCCGUCCAGCACUGUAAUUUAUGUAACUGCAGCCGGUUACGUCACGCGGUGAUUUGCGAACGAUGAUGAUAGGAUCGGCGCGGAAUCGAAGCGGAGGGGAACGUUGGAAGUAGUAUUACUCCGAGCUGGUUCAGACGCAAUCGAAAUACUCCGGAUGAUCCCCUUUCUCCGUGUAGAUACGCUUCUUAUUGGUGUAUCGCGAUACGAUGUGAUACGCGAACACCGCGUAUCGUAUAUUAUUAUCCGCGUAUUCCAUUUCUAUGUAUAUUUGCUGCAUAUGCACGUACCGAGCCGUACAUCUGCGGCAGAAGACGUUUCGAACGCACGAAAAUUGUACAUGGAAGAAUACGUAUUCGCGGUAGCAUCGCGUUCCGUAAAUAAUAUUCUUCGUGUUGGCCAACAUGGACGAAAUAUUUUUCAUGUAAGAUUUUCUAUUCUACUCGGCUCGUCGAGUUUCAUUAAUUAACACUGGACUCGGUAUCGUACGCUUGGCUGGCCAAGACACGGCCUUAGCUACUGCUGUUUACUCUGUUUAAUAUCUUCGAAGAGAACGGCUGAUUGGAUCAAAAUGGAACAGGCGGAUGAUUAAUUUCAGCCGACUCUCUUUUCAACGGCGAAGCAAUUAACGCCGACGCUAAUUAAUCGUGCAAUGGUCCGGCUGUGUGACGUGGCUUUCGAAAAUAUCGACGGUAUCGAAAUCAGGUCGUAACUCGAUUACGGGGAAAGAUUCGUUAUCGCGCGACCUGCUGUAAAACGAAACGAUCAUGGCACGCUUCGAUUUUCUGUUUUAUAGGAUCAGCCCCUAUGCCCCUGUUCCUGUUUUUCCUCUCUAUGUAUCUACAUGCACGCGAUAAUACGUAUGUAUGACUAUGCUAAACACGACUUUCCCUUUUUGCACUUUUAUCCCGUGAUAAAGUGGCGUAGACUGUGGCGCGCGCUUUCGAUCGAUCUACUCCGAGAAACGGAGAAUGAACGAGGAAUGAUGGAAGAAGAGGAAGAACAAGACGAACUCGGCCAGAAGAGCGAUAGAGAAGAACGAGAGAUAUUACUUUUGCUCGUUAUCGGUUAAUUGGAAUCACAAGAUUCCCGAUCGUUUCUGAGAAGCCAGACUUCGCUAGCUGCCUCUCCGUCGCUCUUCCGCCCUCUCUUUGUACGCGGCUUAUCCCCGCGACUUACAUUCGUGCGGAAACAGUCAAACGCGGAAGAUGCAAUUACCGUGCCAGUAACAAACUCGUUUGGCACGGUAACUGCAGCGCCGUGUUUAAAUUGCAAUCGUGUAUCAGCGCGAUAAAGACAUUCGCGAACGGAUUUCCCUCGGUUUUUAACCGACGCAUCGAUACCGCAAGAGAGGAACAAGUCUGUAUUUAAUUCGAAUCCCGAACCGUGUCGCUGAUUUAUAAGGUCGCGUCGAUCUCGCGGCCAGAUUGGGGACUAAUAUACGAGAAGCAGAAACCAUUCGAUAACGAAGCCGAACCAACUAUUAUCGUUUUUGUUCUGCUUCUCCUUCCUCCUAUUCCCUUCGACCCUAUUCUCUCCUCUUCUUUUUUUUUCUCAUCGUCCACGAGAAAUCCGCAAAGACAAUGGGAUCUCUGGUCCACAAAAACCGAUAUUUCCGUCGUCGGAACGAUUGUACGCGGCUUAACGAUCGACCCGGAAAAGGAAAUUUCAUCUUCUCACGAAGUGCACCCUUUUUAUUUCUCUUCUCCUUCGUUUUUCGUUACCCAGCCACUCUUUUCCGUGGCUUCGUCCCUUUCCCUAGCUCUUUUAUUCCUCGCCUUCUUAUUUACAGCGGCAAAUAACUCCUUUUGCGACGUAAUAUCGUUACGGUUAUGUAGUUUCGCCGAUACGCCGGUUCUUUAUUCUAUUCCAGGGGAUUCCCUCCCUUCGUUGUAUGCUCGCCACGUUUCCCUUCUCCUCGCAAUCUUUUCCUCUUCCGCGUCUGGCUGUCUCUCUGCCUCUCUUCGUCUGCCUAUAUUUUCAGCUAUCAUCCAAGACAGCCUAUUCCUUUCCUUGGCACGAAGACAGAAAACAGUCUUCGUCGCGAGAUUCAACCGAUAUUCAGCUGUACCGGCCGAAAUUGAACGAUUUGUCGUAUAAACGUCUUUGAGCCGAUUCACAGUGCGCAACGCCAUUGAUAAAUCCGGACGUCUAUCCGCGGAAUCGCAGCGCCGUCACCGGACGCACUCGUGCGGAGUUAAUCUUCCAAAGAGUCUGCGGGAAUAGGAAAGAAAGCCGCGGAAAGCUCGAAACAUCCUGGAAAAACCUACCAACUCGAAAAUCUCUCGCGCCCAGCCAACACGAUCCCAUCACACGGAGAAACUUUCCCCGUUCUUCCCCCCGGUCUGAUCAUCGUAGUUAAGCUGCGUUGGCCACGAUUCUCGCUCCUAUCUACCAACUACAUGCACGUGAAAGACCAUCAGUACUUUCAGAGUCUACCUAAACCUCCACAUAUCCUAGACUAUAUGAUAGUGUAUGUACUGUACCCGAUGCGGAUUUAACUCGAAGAACUGGAAGAAAAAAACGGAAGAAAGGUAUGUACGUAUAUCUAUCUAGUGGUGCCAAGUCAGCUCACCUAAAGACCAACGUCGGUAGGAGCUACCUUUAAAGAAAAUCCUCAUUAGAGAAGCUUCUGCAACGAAGGUAGCAAGCCUGGACGCUGCAAAAAGCGUCUAAUUAAUUAUUUGCGUUUUCCGUCGAAACGACAACGAUAAGGAGCAACAUCGCCGCGUAAUUGCCUACCGACGAAAGUAGCGAUAAAGACAAUGGGUCCGCGCGUCUCCGUCUUGUAAUUGAACCCUUCCAACUUUGCCGGGAAAGUGUACGACAGCUGGAUGCGCGCUUUAAUCGCGACUAACGUAACCCUACCGGGUGUCUCAGUCGCAGCCCGUAACGACGAUUUACGGGUUAACGAGUUCACACUUCUCGAAUUUCCCGGAUGUUCGCAUGAUUCUUCCCCACCUAUCCUACCAAGUAUUCGAUUCAGCAGCCUCCUUUCUCGGUAGGGUAUUCGCGGUACCCUUCGCAUACCACCGCCCUUCGCCGUACCUUCAGCUAACCAACGAAAGUUCGCCCCUUACAUUAUCGUCGCGGCAGCCGCGAGUCGCUUCUUGCGCUUGCGGGUGCCGCUAACUUUUUAACUAGUUGCAAAUUAAAAUUUAACUCGAGGGUACCCAGCACCUUCACCUCUGUCGGCGUUUCUCGGUACUUUCUCGUUCCCCGGCUCUGGAGAGCGGCAGCCUGUGCAACGAGACGCGUCCGCAGAAGAAGAGAGAGCGAAGAAAGUUUCCGGGAGUAGAUUUAAAAAAAGAACCGAAGGUUGCUGAAAGUUAUAGGGACCGAGGAUCGACGACGUUAGAGACUUCGAUCAUUUUUACGAGCGCUCCUAGUCACUGGCGCAUCGUGCAACCGAGGAUGAGAAGAUACUGCGCGCUAUCUCGAUCCUGCUUUUUCUCCAAGCUGGCCCCUAACUCGACGCGAUGUCUGUUUUUCGCGAUCUACGAAGCGGCACAAAUUUUUCAACUCCGGAUAUUUGCUUGCCUGUUAUUCGUUGGCCGACCGAAACCAACGAAAGUAUACGAAAUAUAAGAACCACCAGUUGUUUCCAUCCCGAAUACUUCUGUUACGUUAAAACAACAAUGGCAUUCCCACGAACAACCGCGGCGGAUUUAGUUAGUCGGGCAUAAUAGGUCUAGGGCGUACGUCGUUUUUUCUUCUGAAUGCAUCACGGGGUAACGAGGCAGCUCCGCGCGCGCAAUAUUUCAAUUACCGCUCAACGUAUCCUAUUGUUUGCAGACGCAGCAGUCGACAACUUGGGAUCUCCGCGAGCCGGCUCACGGAGCCAUGAAGAAAUAAUUUCGAAAUUGCCGCCAGCGAUUUUUCACGAAACGACUGUGAUUGAAACGCGGUCGCCGGCUCGCGGAUACGUGCGAACAGAGAGCGUCACACACAAGCAAGACGGCGCGACGGGUUCCGCGAGAAAAGCGCGGAAAAGAGUAUUGCAAAGAGAGAAGAAAGAGCAGGUAACCCCUUUUGCGACGGGCCGAGGGCAGGAAGAACAAAUUGCACUUCCCAGUCUCGUUAAAACAAUGUCGUCGGGGGGACAGAGAAGAAGGGCAAGCCGUGGCAGUGAGGGGCGGGCCGAAGGGAGUGAGAGGUAGGAGGUGAGGGGCAGAGGAAAGCUAGGUGGCUGCUGCAGCUUCCAACGAAGGAGUAUUCAGGUCGUCGAAGGGGAAAAAAUAUGAAUGCGGUAGCAUGGUCGUCAGGGUGGCGCAGCGGUAUCGUGUCGUCCACGCCCUUACCGCGCCGCGUCUAGCGUUCCAAGUUAAGUUCUAUCGACUGAUUGGCAGUCCCCGAACGCUUUAUUACGCUCCGGUCGACAAUUUCGAGAAUAAGCCAUCACGGACAGUGGCGUAGAUACGGUGGGCGUCUCGAGACCUGCAUCGAGACACACAGAGAAUACGGACAGAGUCGGGUUUCGUGCGUACCUUCCGGUAAAGGUAUCGGUCUGGAAACGGUGAGUUAUAUCCCCGUAAGGUAUCAUUCUGCGGUAAGAGAUGGCACGGUAGCUAUCUGAUUCCGUUAUCUCGGCGCCAUAUACCCAGUCCGUGGAUUCCGCGGCGAAAUAACAGUCCUCAGAAAUAACGUAUUCCGUAGGUCGGCCCUUUCAGCGUCCCUCUUGGGUACGUUCGUACAUGUCUGUCUUCAUUCGCCUUUCAUCGACUAAGCCUUUCUUCUUCUCUGCUCUGACCGCGAAAGACGAAGAUCGGAGGUGGUGAACAAUGCCGCGCGAUGUUGGGUGCGGCCAGAAAACAGAACCAACUCC